GAAACAAAAAUUAAAAAAAGAAAAAAAAAUAAAUUAAAAUUUAAUUUCUCAGUUAUUUUCCGAGGCUCUUCAAAGCUUGCAAUCGAGUCGACCUUCAUCUCCAAAACCUAAUUUUCCAUUUGGUAAGCAUUUUUCCUUCUGGGAAUUGCUUUUCUUUUUUGAAGAUUGUCGAAUUAUAGAAUUUUUUUUCUUCUGAUUUCUAGCUUUAUUUUAUAUAUUCAAUAAUCAAAUAAAAAGUUUUUUCAGAAAUUCCGGAAUUUUAAUUUCAC
rnacentral:misc_RNA from 1 species